rnacentral:rRNA from 1 species
ACGGGUGAGUAAUGUCUGGGAAACUGCCUGAUGGAGGGGGAUAACUACUGGAAACGGUAGCUAAUACCGCAUAACGUCGCAAGACCAAAGAGGGGGACCCUCGGGCCUCUUGCCAUCGGAUGUGCCCAGAUGGGAUUAGCUAGUAGGUGGGGUAACGGCUCACCUAGGCGACGAUCCCUAGCUGGUCUGAGAGGAUGACCAGCCACACUGGAACUGAGACACGGUCCAGACUCCUACGGGAGGCAGCAUG